CCUACGGGAGGCAGCAGUGAGGAAUAUUGGUCAAUGGGCGCGAGCCUGAACCAGCCAAGUCGCGUGAGGGAAGACGGUCCUAUGGAUUGUAAACCUCUUUUGUCGGGGAGCAAAAGACGCCACGCGUGGCGUUUCGAGAGUACCCGAAGAAAAAGCAUCGGCUAACUCCGUGCCAGCAGCCGCGGUAAUACGGAGGAUGCGAGCGUUAUCCGGAUUUAUUGGGUUUAAAGGGUGCGCAGGCGGAAGAUCAAGUCAGCGGUAAAAUUGAGGGGCUCAACCCCGUCGAGCCGUUGAAACUGGUUUUCUUGAGUGAGCGAGAAGUAUGCGGAAUGCGUGGUGUAGCGGUGAAAUGAAUAGAUAUCACGCAGAACUCCGAUUGCGAAGGCAGCAUACCGGCGCUCAACUGACGCUCAUGCACGAAAGUGUGGGUAUCGAACAGGAUUAGAUACCCCUGUAGUC
rnacentral:rRNA from 1 species